rnacentral:rRNA from 1 species
AUACGGAGGGUGCAAACGUUGUUCGGAAUUACUGGGCGUAAAGCGCGCGUAGGCGGUUUGUUAAGUUGGAUGUGAAAGCCCCGGGCUUAACCUGGGAGGGUCAUUCAAAACUGGCAGACUAGAGUGUGGUAGAGGGUAGUGGAAUUCCUAGUGUAGCGGUGAAAUGCGUAGAGAUUAGGAGGAACACCAGUGGCGAAGGCGACUGCCUGGACCAACACUGACGCUGAGGUGCGAACGCGUGGGUAGCGAACAGGAUUAGAAACCCUAGUAGUCC